CAAUUUUCAAAAUGAAGAGAAAUAUUGAGAGAUGAAGAGAAUGAAUGAAAGUAACACACAAAAAUGAAAAAAAAAAAACUUCAAAAUGAAAGCAAAAAUGCCUUGUUCUAGAAACAAGUCAGCAGGAUGGUUUUAUGGUUGAGAAGCAAGUAGAGGAGGGGAAAGGAAGAACGUGGAUAACGCCUGAAUAGAAUCCUUCAGGAAAAUGAGUGCCAAGAAGUGACAGAAUGACCCUCAAAAUUAUGGGAGACGGUGUUGUUCUGUUUAUAGGCCAGCAGAGAAGCCAGAGGUAGGGGAGCUCUGUGAAGACCGCUGCAGUCACCCGGCGGCAACGACCAGUCUUUGGGCUUCUUCCCUGUGUGUGUUUCCCAGUUACCAGCACAAUAACCAACGAGGCGCUCUUGCCCCUCACAUCAAGGCUUGCAUUUCUGCCCUGUUUUAAAUGUGUCUUUUCAGUAAAACAAGAUCUCUUUUCUUUCACAUGCUCUGUUCCAGCAGUGAUAUUUACUGUAGAAUCUCAAAUGCAAUUACCAAAUUCAAAUAAGAGAACAGAUUAAUCAAAAGCAGGGAUGGAGGGGACUCGGCGUGGGCCGUGGUCACGUGCUGGGAGGAUGCGCUGUGUGGUUCCUUGGCAACAGCAGCUCAUCCCUAAGUCUGUCUCCAGGCCCGGAACGUUGAGAAAGCUUUCUCUGUACGCGGUUUCCAAGGCGCUUCUCCUAUCAUAUCCCAGGCUCUCAUUCCAGCUGCAUAGUCAGAAGCCCGACGUCCUAGGGCUUCAAGCUUCACAGGCAAUAAAAUAG
rnacentral:lncRNA from 1 species